rnacentral:lncRNA from 1 species
ACACCCACCUCCCUGCUGUUCCUCACCCAGGAUCACCAAGGUCUCUCCUACCCCGGGGCCUGUGCACCUGCUGUGCCUCUGCUUGGGGUGCUCUUCCCAGGGCUUGCCCACCUCCUCAGAGAGGCCUCCUGACCCCUGACACGGCCUUGCCCUUCACCUCUAUCGUCCUUUAGAACAGCCCCCACCUCCCGCACAUCAUGCAGUUGCAGGUUCAAUGGCUACUGCUUGUCCUCCAGACUCGAUAGGCCUCAUCACUCCUCAGAUGAUUCUCGAAGGAUAACACACAGGCCAGUGGGCAGCCCUAGGCCAGGGGGAUUACCAAGACAUGAAGACUUUCUUUCUGUCUCAGCAACCUUCAUGCUUGGUCAAGCAAAGGUGUUGCUUAAGUCAAACCCAGGGCAGGGGAGAGCAGUUGAAGCAAAGUGAGUCUUUGGAGGCCCUGUGGUUGUGGGGUCUGGUGUGGAGACAGUGAGAACGGAAAAGGUGGGAGAGGAGCAGUCAACCCGUGAAUGGCCCCAUUCAGACGCCUUUACCUGGAAGACGUGGCAGGUGAGCAGCAAGUGAGCGGGAGAGUGGGAGAGAGAAUGAGGAAGUGAGGGAGAGAAUGGAUGAGUGAGCACCUGCUUGGAUGAGCCGACACCCACCAGGGAUCAUGAGAACACCGAACAGCUGAGGCACGGUGGCGUCUCUCAGCAGCCUCCCCAGGCCUGUGCCCCUGGGUCCUGACAUGAGAGCUGAUGACCAUUUAUUAUCACUGGUGAUGUCAAGAGGUGGCUUGGAAUGGUUGUAACCGUCUGUUCAUUUUCAUCUCACCUCCACAUCCACCACAAAUACACAGUGACGUUGCUCUGCAAAAGCAGCAGCACACAGCCCCCCAGAAGCCCCUUCCAGGUAAUUGCCAAAAGUUUCUUCCAUAUGGAAAUUCUGUAGUUGUGUGACCUCAGGCUAGUUACACAACCUCUCUGAGCUUUGCCAUCGUCUUCUGUCCUAUGGUAAGAAUGAUACUGAGGUACUAGGGAGCUGUGAAGCAUAUGCUGUGAGACAACACAGCUGAGCAGCCCAGCCAGAGCCCCCUGGGGAAGCCGUCAGAGGUCAGCAGCUCCCGUCUCCUUCCCUCUUGACUCCUAAUAGUCUAGGACAGAACUUUGCCCUCCCUUCUUCCUGUCCCAAAGAUGCACAAUGAUAAUGAUGCUGAUGGUUAUUUAGUAAGAAACUUCCCAACAGGAACAGUCAUCAGGAGGGGGCACAGUUGGAUUCUCUCCAGUGAAGAUGUCAGGAUGGACAGAAAUGUCAGCGUAAUCCAAAGAGGACACAAACACCCCUGCUAUUUUCUUGUCACCAGGAAAAGGCCAGCUCUAGGUUUGAUGAAUGUUUAGUGAAAGAAAGUUUGCAAAAGUAGAAAAGAAACUGACAUAAUGGUAGCCAAACAGGCUUUCUCUGCAUUAGAAGAGCUAAAUAUACCCUUGCAUGUCUGAUUAGAGAAAAACAAAACAAACAAGCAAAAGCUCCUCCGAUGCACAGAGGUACUGCUCCAUUGAACUAGACCAGAAGAGCUUGGGCCUGCCCCUUGGGAACAGGGGUCAACAUGAUGCGGUGGGCAGGGACCCAUCAUCUGACAAGAAGAUGCCCUGAGGGCAAUGGAAAGCACGGUGUGUCGGGAGAAGAUGGCCCUGAGGGCAGGUGCAUUCAGGUGCUUGUGAACGCUGCAGCAUGUUGGGUCUCUAGUUUUGUAUCAGUCAGCUACUCUCACAACAAUGCUGUGUAACAAACCACCCCAAACUCAGUUGCAAACAAUGAUAUUUAUUUCUCAUUCUCAUGUCCACAGGUCUACUGGGGUUCAUCCCAUCUGAGCCAGGCCUGGCUUUUCUUGGCUGCAAGCUGAGAGCUGGGUCCAGGUCUGCUGAACCAAGGUUCUCCCAUCUUCCUUGAGCCAGUGACAAUCAGAGGCCUAUUUCUUUCAUGACGGAAGGCAGGAGAACAAGCAGCUCCCGGCUCACCCACCCAGCAGCUCAGCACCUGCGAAAUCCGUCUCCCGAUGCACACUUGCUAACCGCGUGGGUGUGAGCACAACGAUGGGAAACAGCGGAAGUCCCCGGAGUGCAGACUCAGGAGUGAACCUGCCUGAAGAGUGGCGUCUAACGCACACACUGUGGUCAGCUCCACCCCACUAUGGGUCCCGGGAAUAGGAGCAAGUAUGUAUUUUGCUUGCAGGGCAGGUGUUUCAUCCACAUUAUUGCAGGAACAGAUGAAUUUAAUUAAAAGAACACCACAGUGGGCACCUCUUCCAGGGAUGUCUCCCUCUAAGAACAUGACACUGAGAUGAUCAAGGUUCUAAAAGGGCGAUCAAAUUACUCUCCGAAAAUGAAACUGCUCAGACAGAAUGACAAUUAAAUUAAUAACAACCAAGACAAUGCCCAGAUUUCAUCUCCGCUCACAGCCCCUCCUGUGUGCUGUAUGAUCAGGUUCUUGGGGUGGCUCCAGAUACAGCAAACAGUCAGGAUUAAUCCACAAGAGUGAGCUGUCAGCAUGAGGUUCCCCUACAGUGGAGCUUGCCAAGGUCCGUGCCUCCCAGGGCACCCGUUCCAGGGCUAACAGAUGAAGCAUGGAAAUGCUGUGUGGAGUGAGCUAAGCAGCCGUUCUCAGGAGAAAACAGACAAAUCCUCCUGCAUCCUGGCAAACCAGCUUUGUGGCCUGUUUUAUGUCAUCUUUGCUGAGCUCCACCGGGUCACCCCUCCUGUUGGCUUUGUGAUACUGACAUUUCAGGCACUGGCACAGAUACAUUGGCCUUCCUGGCUGGGAUUUCACGGACGGAGUGAGCAGUGCUGGCUUGGAGGAGCCGUGGCGGCACAGGGCCUGUGCUCUCAGCUGAUCAACGCCUUGAUAGCCAGGAAAGGCCUGUCCUACCCCAAAGGGCCCUCGCAGCACUGUUUGAAAUUGCUCUUGCCAUCUUUGGAAUGGAUUCCUCAGUACAUUUCAGACUCGUUGUUGUGACUUUGGUUUUAAUCCAGGGACACACCGUGGCCAGUGGAGUGUCUCAACAGCAUCUAUGAUCGCUGUUUCCCAGAGACAGCAUCUCAGAUACCGAUGCUGAAAGAGAAACAGCAGCCUGUCCCCAAGUGGCAGGAAAUAGUCCAUUUUAAUGGCAAUUUCAUAAGUGGCAGAUGAUUUUUAUUGUAAUUUUCUGGUGAGCUGAUUAAGUGGAGGCAGAGUCAGUUCUGAGGCGUCAAUGUCUUUAACAAUUCGGGGAGACGGAGGCCACGCUCAGCAGGAACACUGAGUCCAUGGAAAACAGGCCCUGGGCCCGCUGAUGUGCAUAAUUCCACGUUUGCCCCUCAUGUAACCAGGAUGGUAAAUUACAGGUGUCAGAUAAUCACGCUCUGGAGUGGCUACUUGAGGAUGCGAUCGACCAAUUUAAGCUCCGUCUGACACAUGAUCAAUAGCCCGUGAUGCUGCAUGGAAUUGCAGGCACAGUGUCCAAACCUGCAGAGCAGUGGCUCCCAGCUGGGGCAACUUUGCCCCCCAGAGGACAUUUGGCAAUGUCUGGAUAUGUUUGCAAUUGUCACAACUAGGAAAGGAGGUACCCAUAGGAUACACAGGAAAGUCCUCACACAGUUGUAUCCUGCCCAGACUGUCCGUAGAGCCAGGGUGAGAUGCUCUGACAGAGCCACAGUGAACAUUGCAUUCCAUCAUCUGGGUAUCUCCAGGAAUGUAUGUAGCUGGAUGUCUGGCUUUUCAUCUGGGUUUCACGAGCCUCCUGCAGAACUGAAACUAGUUUGGGAAAGCAGAAAAUUAAUGAAGACAGAAAACACAGGUUUCAUGAAAAAGUUCAGCAUCCCAGGAAAGGAGCAAAGAGAAGUCUGCAGAUGAGAGUUGCUCAGUGUCAGGACUCAGAAAACAAUACCCCAAGAUAAUGUUCAAACCUGAGUGCUUUGAACAAAGGAUAUUGAAAGACCUCAGAAGAGGGCCUCAGAACUCACAUGUCUCUCUGACCUUCUCCUGUCUCUCCUUCACUUCCAAAGCAUGAUCUUUGGCCAGGGGAUCUCUCUGGGAUUCCCUUAUCUGCCUGAGGGAUGUACUUCCAAAAGAAAUGUGACUGGCAUGACCUCCUCCCUAGGAAUCUCUUCAAACAGCCGGGAAAGACUGGUCACCUGAGAGGAGAUUGGAAGUCCUCACUGCACUCAGAAAGGCUGUUGUCCAUUCUUCUAGAGACUUUAUCUGAAUAACAAGGCAACUUUUGUUUACCAUUCAGUUCCUCCCCUUUCCUUUCUAACUUGUCACCACCUCCCCCAAAAGCCUCAAGCCUCCACUCCUACAAGCUAUAAAGACUUCAACCAUCUGGCUUCUCCAUGAGUCUCAUGUUUUGUGUGGCUCUUAGGCAUAUGUGCAUGGUAAUACAUGUGUAUGCCUUUCCUCCGGGUAAUCUGUUUAUUGUCAGUUUAAAGCAGCCACAGAGUUAAAGACGGAAGCCUUCAGAAGGCUUUCCCUUUGCCCCUGCAUCCAUCACCUGAGAGCCCACCCAUGACAGACUUGAACUAUGGACAGAGGCUGCAGUCAAUAGAGCCCAGGGUGAGACUGACUACAGGAGAAGCUGGGCCUUGGGGGAUAAGCCCAAGCUUCUCAAUUCUCAAACUGCAGGUUAAGCCUCUAUAAUGGAGCCUGAAUUCCAUUCAGUGAGUCUUGACCAGCAUUUUAAAAUGUGAAAUAACAGAACUCAGUAGAAAAUAUCAAAGGGCAUUACUUAUAGUGAGGUAAGAAUAUUCUGCGAAAUUUUAGUUUUAUAUUGAGUGUGUGUGUGUGUGUGUGCACGCGCACGCCAGGCCUUGUUGUAAAAUAUACUUCUUAUAAUGGGUUGUGUUCAAAACAGCUUGUAAAAUAUGGGAGCAGAUGAAAUGAUGGAGGAUUUGGUAAGAACUAAAUAUUUGUAAGCAAAUUUUGCAGUGAAAAGAACAAGGAAAUUAUUAAUUCAAGAGAAAUCAAAAGUAGUAUAAGAAAGAAAAUGCAACCAUAUUGCCAUACUUGGCUCUGCUGUAAAUAACAUCUACUUGGCCACAUGACAUAAAUGCUGAUUAUGAUGAUGUCAUUGAAAACGGUAAUUUAGCCAUGCAGGAGGCUGUGAGUUAUGGUGGCAAGUGGAGGAAGAGAGCUAAUCCCUCCUCUGGGGGCCGGCAUUGAGAGAUCACAGAGCAACUUGAAUCCCCGUGAAGCACUUGCUCUUACAAGAUUUGGAAGAAACUUGCACAAACAGUAAAGUGUCUUUACUUGUGGAUGUCUCUGGGAAAAGAUGGGCAGGGAACAGAAAGAUUCAACGGUGUUUGAUUUGGUGACCAUAUAUCUCUUUAAUUUAAAAAGGGAUCAUUCAGGACCAGUGAGGCCAUGGUGGUGUUCAUUGGAAAGAGCCCAGGGACCCAGGUGGCUCUUGGCUCCAUCACCUAGAACCCCAUGCCCUUGAACGAGUCCCUCUCCAGCUUUUGACACCAGUUGGCCAACCUCUAAAACAAAGAGGCCAGGCCAAAUUAUUUUGACUUGUCCUUGGAGCCCUGUGAGUCUGUCUCACCACGGAGUGACUUGGGAGUCUGGGUACCACCCACCCUGACUCCAUGUCAAAUACCGUGCACAUCUCAAGCACAGUGCCUGGCUCAGCACAGGCAGCAGGAAAGCUGUGUGGGUGUGCAUCAGGGUUGGUGGACACAGUAGACAGCCUUUGCUCUCCCAAGAUGGGGGAGGUCCGGUACCAUGACUUAGGGAACUGCUGGUUCCUAACCAACCCCCCCACCCACCCCGGACAGUAGUGCAGAAAGGAUGCUUUCCUAAUCAGCUAAUUUUCACAAAAUGUGGGAUGCCCUGGUGGGAUCCCGUGGUAGGAGAGUAGAUGACUUCCAGGAGCACAUAGAGGGGGCAGAGGCUGCGGGCUGACCCUUGAUACCCCUCAUCCCCUUCAUUUAACAUUAGAAAUCCCAAAGUUUAGUUGCCUGGACCGGAACUGAAUUUCCCAUCCUGCCUUGCAGCUGGUGUGUACCUUCCCAGUGUACCCUUAAAUGCAUGAGUACGCCCCACUUACCCUUUUCCUCUUCCCUCCUGCCUGAUGUGACUUGCACCUCCUUGGACCAGGUGGACAAGAAAAGCCUCCGUCAAUGACAGAGCCCAAGAUGGGCAGGUCGAGGAUCAGCCCCGGGAGCCGCCCAACUAGCUCGCCCCUCGCCCCCGCCCCCCAGCCCCCACAAUCCCCCGAUGGCGAGGCUGUCAUGUGGGAGAAAAGCAAACCUCUGGUUCAUGAAAUUGCAGGUAUUUGGAGCCUCUGCACAAGCUAGUGAACUUGUAUAUCAAUAAGUAGGGGGAGUACAUUUUUUAUUUCAAUAGUUAUUCACUUUAAUGUGUAUUAGAAAAAAAAUUCCAACUUAUUAAUCAAACCUGUGAUUUCAUUAUGGCGACAGAGGACGUUAAAGUAGGUAACACAUUUUUUACUUUUACCAUGAGUAAAAAUGUGAGCCGGUUUAGUUUAAAAGAAAACGCCAGAAAACAGCAUGGGCAUGACAAGGGUUUGGCAACAAUCACGAUCAUCCUGGAGUGACUGAAGCUCGUCCACUUGGGACAGGUGACCAUGUGGGGGACUCUGGAGCAGCAAAGCAGUCAGGGUGAGGGGUCAGAGGCACCAAACUUCCUCUUAGAAAAACACGAGGGAACCGACGAACCCAUGUCCAGGGAAUGCUGAGGACGCUCUUGACUGUAGGGGGACCGAGCACAAAGCCCCCGUCGCCGCCCGGCGGACCCGAGCUCCUGGACUCAGCCUUGACCGACACUGACUCUGUUCCCACAGCGGCCGCUUUGUUCGUCUCCUUUGUGGACACUUAGCUCAGCGCCUGUGCUGCUCGGCUGUGACCUGACCUUCGAGGGUCACCUCCUGAAUUCAAUCGCUGUGACCUGUGCUGCGGACCCCGUCAGGAAGCUCCUGGUCUCCUCCAGUCCCUCCCCCGCCUCAUUCGCACAAAAGGCCUCAUUGUUCUGCAGGGUCUGAUUCAGACCUGCCCUGGUUUCAGUUUCGGCAAACACCCAGCACUGGCUUUGGGUCAGGGGUCACUCUGGAGUGAACGGGGCGCCCUGAGCAACCCCACAUCGCUGUGUGAUCCCGGCUCAUCCACAGGAAGCCCCGGCCCAGGGACCCAAAUGGGUCCCAGAAGUGGACCAGAUGCAGCGCCGACGGUGAUGUGGGGACGCCGGCAUCUCCAACAGUGGGAAAGAGGAAACUUUCUACUUUUCAUUAAGCCCCGUCCUCUUCUCCCCCAGGGUUACGGGGACACAAUGUCUUCACUGGCCAUGUUGGAACGUUCUGGGGUGUGAAGGGAACGUCCCCAAGAGCAGUGACUUGACCUUCGCUUUGGCUGAGAUUUGAAAUUCUCUUCUUACCGAUCUUUAAAUCUGUACACGCAGGAGUCUGUUUUAUAUCCAGCCGUCCCUGUGACCUCGGGCGAGUUCCUUACCUUGUGUUUCCUCAUCUGUAAAGUGGGAAUAAUGACCGCACGGCCUCGUGUGCUUGUCAGAACAAAAUCAGACAAUGCACGAAGACCCGUUGGCCCGGAAAGCUGCAGCUGGGCCCUGACGAUGCCACGCUGUCCAUCUGGGGAGGGGAAGUUCAUUGCUAAUUCGACUCAAAGGAGAAAAAUGCAUGUCCCCCUGAGCUGAAAGAAGGAACGAAGCCAAGUCCACCAGGCCACCGGGUCUCCUUAGGCUGAGGAAAUGGACAAGGAGGGCAACAUGGAAACUGCAGAGAGCAGCAAAGCCCUUCACUACUGCUGCCCGAACCCUGCAGCGGCUCCUACAGCCACCACAGGUCACUGGGCCAGAAGCAAGUUAGGGAACAGCCACAUCACCAUUCAGGGAAGCCGCUCCCAGGCGCUGAUCCCCGGAAUGGUGGAUUUGCUAACAGCAGCCACACAGACACCUCACCUCACGCCAGGCUGCUGAGCUCAGCGGGGGGCACGAUUGCCCAAGCAGGGGUGGGGCAGGGCAAGGCAGACCCAGUCACAUGGUGGGAAAAGCCAAAAAAAACCUGCCUGAUUUGGUAAAAUGCCAGAACUGGGCAUUUUAAAGUUAGUUUUUAAGGCGUAGCCAUUUGUUGGGGGUUUUUUUGCCUUGUACUCUCCUGUCUCCCUCCUCGCCACACAAUAAACUGUCUCCAAGGCAGCCGCCCUCCCGUUGCCAGGACGUGCGAGGCAGGGAGGUCAGGAGCUCUGCUGUGAGGGCGCCACCCGGCUUCCGGUUUGUGCAUGAAAACCCGGCUCAGCUUUUCCGUUCCAUGAAGACUGGGCUUCUCCAGGCUGCUCGGUAAAUAAUCACGGAUUCCACUGGGAAGAGAAAACAUCCCCACAGCCCCUUCUCCAUUGUGCACCCAACCUCCAGGUGUUUUCAGUCUCUCAAAGAGCCCCGACGCCUGAAAUUUAACAACUAAAACCUUAUUUUUCAUUUCCUGAGAUUCUCUUGGUGGAAUCAGGCAGCCUGGCAGUGCGCAGCACCUAGGGUGGCUCAUGAUGAAAAAUCCAGAGGGGACUUUGCCUUCCUGCAUGUCCUUUUGUCACCAGAACCCGGGGACCAGCAGGACCCAAAGCUCCCUGCGGGAUCAGCUGGGUCUGGGAAUCACUGUCCUGGGCCCAUUUGGACUUUUCGGAUGAGGCCGGUGUUUGGCCAGCACCUGGGCUGGGCAGGUGGGAAGGACAGAGGCGCUGAUGGAGAGAGGGAGGGGAAGGGGAUUCACAGCCGUCCUGGGAGCCCCACGGGUGCCUUUGGCCUCUGGCUCCUCUGCCUGCCCCUCAGGCUGGUUAAAUUCCCCCCUGAAAGUUCCCCAUUGGGCAAGUCCAGCAAGCCUGAGCCAGGCCUGUGAUCUCAGGGUGGGUGGAGCUCUAGAAGGCCUGGCCCUCGCUCCUGGAGUCCACGUUCACCCUCAAGGCAGUGAACGGCACCCCACUGCGCAUCUACUCACUAACCAGGCACGGGAUGGUUUCCAUGGUUCCUGUGUCUUAGACCAGCUCGCUCAUGGUGACAUGGGACACGCUGAGACCCCACCAUGGUGCAGAGUGACAUUAAUGCAUUAAAUUAGCAGCCUCUGCAACACAAACACAUUUGCAUGUGGAGCCUGUGACGUUCUUUGGUAAAAGGAAUCCUUACAUGUUUGCAAACAUUACACUCGCUGAGGAAGGGCCUCGGGCUCUGACAAAUGAUAAAUGGGAAAAUUAGACGCUUCAGGAAAAUGCAAAUAUCAUCCUUCGUAAGUCUGUCCGUUGGCAGGAAAUUUAAAAAAAAAAAAAGGUUUCCCCAAAGCAGUGAGGCAUUACUUCUCCUCUUUUAAAUGCCAGGAAGAAGGGCUGUGAUUCUUUUAGGCACUUGCAUGGAUCUUGAUUUCUCUUCCACAGUCUCCCCAACGCCCUGGCAAUGUGUAGGGGAGAAGCCUGUGAUUUCAGCAGACUGUCCUCUAAUUCAGCGUUUCUCAAGCUUUAUUUCAUAAUCACCCCCUAAGGAAUCUUUAUAGGCAAUUUUUUCUUACUUGCCCCCCUAUGAAUUUUAAUACUACAUAAUUACUGCAGAAUGGUUUAUGCACUGUGUGGACAUCUACAUUUUUACAUAAAGACAAAAAUCUUUUCACCUCUGGGAGC